CCUGUACCUAACUCAGACCAGAUGGUACACAAGGCCCCAUGACUGUUACAUUUUCAGUGUGAAAUGUUAAAUAUACCUUCUCCAUGCCCCCAGAAAACAGACUGCCUCAACUAAUCAGAUUGCUUUAGCUACACAUUUUAUUAUAUUAAAACAUGUUAAAAUUCUGUUAGGCUUCCCAAGCUCAUAAAUGACCCCAAACUUCUAUGCUUCAGAACACGGAUUUCCAUUCUUUGGAAUCUGUGUUUCCUAGGCAGCAGUCCUCAAAGUUUGCUCUUAAAUAAACUCUUUAAACUAAAUUCUAACUCUUUUAAAUUAUUUUAGGUUGACAACCCUUGAAUCUGUGGACAAGUCACAUAAAUCUAAAAGUUUAUACUGUCCACAGUCCUUUCCUUUGGUCCUAAUAUCAGCGCCAACGUGGAUUCACAGCCAAAAGGAGUUCAUGAUGCAUCUCCCAUGGAAAGAGCUUAUACCUCAAACCCACAAGGCUCCCCUCUACAUUCACCACAUGGAGAACAGACCAGCCAAAACCUCUCAGGAGGUGGAGUAUUUGCCAGUAACUCUCUGGAGAUCUGUCUUAUCUGUGACCAAGACAACGAAGCUUAAAAAAAGGCAAUAAUGUUGGAAAAAGACAUGAAUAUGGUCUGUAUUAAAUUGAUUCUACUUUUUAUUUAGUCAUGACUCUGGACUAACUUUCAAAAAGUAAAAUGUUAUGCCAGCCUAGCAAAUGUUCAUAUCAAAUUCCUCAUUGUUUUCUCUACUCUCCUUUGUCCUGCCCUCCACUUUUGUUUGCUUGGUGAGGCUCACCCUAAAAUAUGUAAAAAUAUGUAAAAUAUGUAAAAAAAAAAUUUAAAAAGCAAUGAUGUUCUGUUGGAAGAAACAAAGGAAAGAAAUAAAAGUUGCAUUUAAAGGGUACAGAAAGAAAUGAUUUUCCUUUUCUGCUUCAAAUGGG
rnacentral:lncRNA from 1 species